CAGGCGUUGGGAGGUGCGGAAGGCCGGGCCGCAGGGCUCAGAGGAGGGGCGGCGGGAGGGAGGCCAGGAGCGAGUGUGUGUGUGUGUCCUGUGCGUGCGGAGGCCUGUGGGCCAGGAGGGUAUUGCCCGUGGGCACACCUGCUCCGUGAAGCGUGUCCGCGGAGCAGCCUGUGUGCGCAGGAGUGAGUGUGUGCGUGUGUGUGUGUGUGUGUGAGUGUCCGUCCCUUUGGCUGUUCAUGUGCCUUUCUCCUCAGCAGGGACUGUCUGCGCGGGGCUUACAAUGUUCUUGUUUCUCCCGCCGUAGCUGUUUGCCGUUUGCCGUUUUGCUGUUUGCCUCCUUGUCACGACCUCAGCGACGGCAGAUGGAGCCAGUGGAGGGAGAGAGACAGACGGCAAUGCUUGGGUAGCCAGGGUUCCCUGCCGGCCCCACUCCUCCUGCAGACACGAGCACACACACACACACACGCGCGCGCAAAACACACACGCUGCCCUUCGCCACACGUAGCCAAGUAAAAUACACAAAAAGCAACUGAGAUACCAUUCGCACAUGACCACAUGGAAACACACAAAUGAACAAACACAUUCAGGCAUAGCCACAUGUCAGUCACACAGAUGGAUAGACAAGAGCCUGGGCUACAAAGCCACAUGGCACAAAGCCACCUGGAUGUAUAUGCCCCUACACACGCACACAGAAAAAAACAUGCAAACUUAAGUACACACCUAUCCAGACAACUGUGAGUGCGCACACACACACACACACACACUCUACCUGACACGUUAGUGCAUCCCCAUUGGGCCCCAGUUUCUCUCAGCAAAUUGAGAUCACCCAGCCUGACUUCAAAACCUGCCCCCUUCCAUUCCCCUUCAUGCUGGUUCCUGAAUCCAGCUCGUUGCUCCAGGCUAGCAAAGCUGUCCACAGCCUCAUUUGUGGUUUGCUCACCUGCCUCAGCACCAUCAGCCAGAGGGGGCGAGGAACGCGGCUCUGCGGAGGAGCGGAAUCUUCUCAGCAGCGACCUGCGAAGGGCUCAGCGGCCACAGGAGGGCGGCAGAGAACAGCGCUCCCUACAGAUCCAGACGACGGCCCUGGAUGCUGGCUGGAAUCCAGGCAAGGCCAGGCUGGGCUGCCCUGGGCUGGGGACGUCUUUAGCUCGAGCAAAAACCCAUGAAUUUCUGAAUUCAGGAAUCCUUGCAUCCCUUCUCAAGCUCUCUAGUCCCUGAAAUGCCAUCGCCCUCCUCAGCCUCCCUUCCAUUUCUCGUUCUCCUAGCACUGGGGCUGCUGGCACAGAAGGACCCUGUGGCUUUUCCUUCAUGGUAUAGCAGAUGACACCUACGCUCCUCCGUGACAUUCCCCAGGGUCCCAGCUGAUAACUGGAGCCAGAACUAGAACCCACGACUUCUUGGUUCUCAGUGCAGGGG
rnacentral:lncRNA from 1 species